UCUCAACUCGACCUAGAACCCGCGAAACUAGAAAACUCAAACACCAGCCUCUCUCCUUCUCACUGUUCUCUCUCAGAUCUCGAUUCUCACUCUCUCCUUCAUCUUCUCACUCUCUCUAUUCUUCUUCGUAGUCUCUCCUUCUUCUUCUUAGUCUCUACUUCAUCUUUCAUGUUCGUAUUAAUGGGGCUCUCCAGCAAGAGCUGUUUUCAAAUCGGAUAUUGGGAAACUUGGUGCUACAAAAGGAUUUGCUGGGAAGGCUCACUGCUCGUAGUGUAGUGCAGAAAAACAGAAGGCUUGUUUGUCUAAAUUUAUGGGGAGUCUUUUUCCCCAAUCAAUUUAUGGGUCUUGUUAAUUCAUUACCUAGACUAUUUGACAGCCAAACACUCAGUUAUCAAAAACCAAGCUAUCUCUGUUCUCUUUCCAUUCCGCUCCCACUUCUCUCCUAAGCUCUCAAAUACUUGAAUCUUCUCACUUCAUUUCAUCUAAGGUCUAAAAUCAGUAGCUACUUUACCUCUAUGCCUUGCUUCUCAUCAUGUUAAGAGAACAAAUGGAGGACUUUAAGAUUUCAAACCACUGAGCUUGUCUCUAUUUUGCUUCAAUACCAGAAAUUUUCUUUCCUUUCGAAUAAGCCCACAUAUGGUGAAGCUCUAGCUAUUGCCCAGUCUCUAAUUGAGUGAUUUAUCGAGUUUUGGGAUUUACCCAAUCAGCCAUUUGAACAAAUUUAAACAAAUUUAAAAGUUCAACCGUUGUACCGAGUCGGGGCCUCCAUCAUUCGCAAACACAUAAGUGGAAGAACCUUACUGUUCAAAGCUCACAAUCAAGAUUGGUCAGAGGAACAACAAAAGCCCUAGAAUCAUAGUCCUCCACUUUAUUGAAUAGCAUUGUUCCAAUGGAGAAGGAUCAGAAGGUAGCAUUUGAAGACCCCAAGGUGGAUAUGUUCGAGGACGAUGACGAGUUUGAAGAGUUCAACAUCAAUCUAGGUAAUUUGGGGACAUGUUAUUAAUAAUCAGCAAUUAAGUGCUAUGGACUUUAUUCUGCUUCUUUUGAAUUGAAUGUAAUGUUAUACACGAUUGGAAUUUAGGAGCUGUACUGAUAUAUUGUAGCAUACACUGAAUUUAGUCCAGAUAUCUUCCACCUGACCUCCAUGUUUAAAUCUGCAUUUUAUAUCCCUCUGUACAUAUGGUUUCUAAUUAGAUUAAGCUCUAAUAUUGCCGUGUUGCUCUUGUCAAAAUUAGAUUGUUGGUCUAAAAUCAAUUGUGAUAAUAUAGGUUGCUUGAUUUCAGCUAUACUUCCCCAUGAAACUAGCAAGUUUAUGACUGAGCCCGUAAGUGUUAAACGUGAUGAGUUGAUAAUAUAGGUAUGCAAUCCUCCUGUUUUUUUCCUCUCUCUAUGAUGUCUAUAAUUCUCACCUUUUGAAUGGAUUCUGUGAUCAGUUUGUUUUUUUAGAUUGAUUUGCCAAACGACUGUGGUCACUCAAUUCAACUUGGAACUAUGAUUUUUUUUUUUUGGGAGCUUCUGUAUAAUGAAUUUGAUUGUGGUGACACCUUCUAAUUAUGUUUUGCUUUUUGUUGCGAGGAUCAUGUGUGUUCUGUGAGAAGUUGUGAGAAAUUCUAAAACUUUGAUGGGCGAUCUUAGGCCUUGGUCACCUGAGCCAAAAGGCGCUGUUUUGGAGGAGAGGCCGACCUCAUCUUCUUCAUCCGUGUUUUCAAUUUCAACAAAUCAGAGGGACGUUUCCACUGAGUACUGGCGGAGAGCGGAGGAGGCAAUGCAGGGGGUUAUAGCUCAGAUCCAACGUACUCACGUCUCUGAGCGGAGAAGGAAAGCCGCCAUUGAUUACGUUCAGAGGAUCAUUGGAGCUUGUAUUGGUUGUUAGGUGUUCCCGUUUGGAUCAGUACCUCUGAAGACGUAUCUGCCGGAUGGAGUGCUGUUGUUGAAAGGGAAGAUCACAAUAUGGCUGCUGAGUUUAUGGUGAAGGACGUGCAGUUAAUUCGAGCAAAGAACAAAUGGGGGACUUUGAGAUUUCAAACCACUAACCUCUCUAUUUUAAUCAGUAUCAGAAACUUUCUUUUGGUGAAAGGAGAGUGAUCCUAAGGAACCACAGUAUGCAAACAACACUUGAAAACUUGAAUCUGAUCUCUCAAGUCAGUGGAGAUCGCUCAUUCACAUGGAGGAUAUCUUUGUAAAUAAAGGCAACCACUUUCUUCCUUUAUCAAGUGUUGAACAAAUCGAAUAUGCUUGACAUGAUUGGCUUCGUAGACCCUGCUCAGACUGGUGUCAUUGGCUGUGGAAAUCCGACUAAACGAGCUCGUUCUUUGUCAGCUUCUUAUUAAAGAGGGAAGACUAGUCAGAUUUUUUGGGUGCCCUAUAACUCAGGGUAUGAAAGCUUGAUUCAUGCAUAUAUUUUGUUGGCUGCCCAGAUUAAUAGAUAUGGGCCAUUUUGAACUUAUGCUCAUGAAUAAGUUUGUGUACAUGAGACAAUGGUGGAUUCAUAUGAAUUGCAAUGAAUGAUUUUGGA